UCGCCCAUCAAAUACAACAAAGAUGGCAGUGUUGCCAUUACCAGUAAGCCAAGAGAGGCGAGGGAGUUCAAUGGUCAGCACUUUAUUUUGGAGGAAGCAAUUACGGGGGAUUUUGCUUUGGUGAAAACCUGGAAGGCGGACCGAGCAGGAAACGCGAUUUUCAGGAAAAGUGCAAGGAAUUUCAACUUGCCAAUGUGCAAAGGUGAAGAAACCACAGUGGUAGAGGUUGAAGAAAUUGUGGAUAUUGGAGCAUUUGCUCCAGAAGACAUCCAUAUUCCUCAGAUUUAUGUACAUCGCCUUAUAAAGGGAGAAAAAUAUGAGAAAAGAAUUGAGCCUUUAUCAAUCCAGAAAGAGGGAGAUGAGGAAGCCAAAUCUGCUAAACCUGGAGAUGACGUAAGGGAACGAAUCAUCAAGAGGGCUGCUCUUGAGUUUGAGGAUGGCAUGUAUGUUAAUUUGGGCAUAGGAAUCCCUCUCCUGGCCAGCAACUUUAUCAGCCCAAAUAUGACUGUUCAUCUUCAAAGUGAAAAUGGAGUCCUGGGUUUGGGUCCACACCCACGACAACAUGAAGCUGAUGCAGAUCUCAUCAAUACAGGCAAGGAAACAGUUACUAUUCUUCCAGGAGCCUCCUUUUUCUCCAGCGAUGAAUCAUUUGCAAUGAUUAGAGGGGGACAUGUCGAUCUGACAAUGCUAGGAGCGAUGCAGGUUUCCAAAUAUGGCUAACUGGAUGAUACCUGGGAAGAUGGUGAAAGGAAUGGGAGGUGCUAUGGAUGUAGUGUCCAGUGCCAAAACCAAAGUGGUGGUCACCAUGGAGCAUUCUGCAAAGGGAAAUGCACAUAAAAUCAUGGAGAACUGUACAUUACCAUUGACUGGAAAGCAAUGUGUCAACCGCAUUAUUACUGAAAAGGCUGUGUUUGAUGUGGACAAGAAAAAAGGGCUGACUCUGAUUGAGCUCUGGGAAGGUCUGACAGUGGAUGACACACAGAAGAGUACCGGGUGUGAUUUUGCAGUUUCACCAAAACUCAUGCCAAUGCAGCAGAUCGCAAAUUGAAACAUGAAUAUUUGUACCAGGCUGCGUGUUUUUCAUUUUAAACACAUAGGAUUUAAUUGAAAGGCCACCAGUAAUCAUAAUUGUGUAUUUAACAGGUGGUUUUUGAUUAGUUUUCUUCUAGGGUUUCAGACUUUAUGCAUCCAUAUAAACUGUUCUCUAGGCAUGCUGUGACAUUUUAAUAAAAAGCAAAAGGAGCAUUUA